GCCCGGCUAGCUCAGUUAGCAGAGCAUUAGAUUCAAUCUUCGAGUCAUGGGUUCAACACUCAUAUUAGGCG